rnacentral:rRNA from 1 species
GAUCCUGGCUCAGGAUGAACGCUGGCGGCGCGCCUAACACAUGCAAGUCGAACGGCACCCACCCUCGGGUGGAAGCGAGUGGCGAACGGCUGAGUAACACGUGGAGAACCUGCCCCCUCCCCCGGGAUAGCCGCCCGAAAGGACGGGUAAUACCGGAUACCCCGGGGUGCCGCAUGGCACCCCGGCUAAAGCCCCGACGGGAGGGGAUGGCUCCGCGGCCCAUCAGGUAGACGGCGGGGUGACGGGCCCACCGUGCCGACAACGGGUAGCCGGGUUGAG